AUUGAACGCUGGCCGGCAUGCCUUACACAUGCAAGUCGAACGGCAGCACGGGAGCUUGCUCCUGGUGGCGAGUGGCGAACGGGUGAGUAAUACAUCGGAACGUACCCUGAAGUGGGGGAUAACGUAGCGAAAGUUACGCUAAUACCGCAUAUUCUGUGAGCAGGAAAGAGGGGGAUCGCAAGACCUCUUGCUUUAGGAGCGGCCGAUGUCGGAUUAGCUAGUUGGUGAGGUAAAGGCUCACCAAGGCGACGAUCCGUAGCGGGUCUGAGAGGAUGAUCCGCCACACUGGGACUGAGACACGGCCCAGACUCCUACGGAGGCAGCAGUGGGGAAUUUUGGGCAAUGGGCGCAAGCCUGAUCCAGCCAUGCCGCGUCGAGUGAAGAAGGCC
rnacentral:rRNA from 1 species